rnacentral:rRNA from 1 species
AGAAUGAACGUUGGUGGCGUGGAUUAGGCAUGCAAGUCGUGCGAGAAGGCCCCGCAAGGGGCCGGACAGCGGCGAACGGGGUAGUAAGGCGUCGGUACGUGCCCAGGGGUCCGGGAUAGCGGCGGGAAACUGCCGGUAAUACCGGAUGACCUCUUCGGAGCAAAGGUGUGAUUCCGCCCUCGGAGCGGCCGACGUGGUACCAGGUAGUUGGUGAGGUAACGGCCCACCAAGCCUUAGACGCCUAGGGGGUGUGAGAGCAUGGCCCCCACACUGGGACUGAGACACUGCCCAGACACCUACGGGUGCUGCAGUCGAGAAUCUUCGGCAAUGGGCGCAAGCCUGACCGAGCGACGCCACGUGCGGGAUGGACGGCCCUGGGUUGUAAACCGCGUGUCGGGGGAUGGAAGUCACGGCGGGGCAAUCCCCGUGUGUUGACAGAGCCCGGAGGAAGCGCGGCUAAGUACGUGCCAGCAGCCGC